UAAUACGUAGGUGGCAAACGUUGUCCGGAUUCACUGGGCGUAAAGCGCGCGCAGGCGGAUUGGUCAGUCUGGGGUGAAAUCUCUCGGCUCAACUGAGAGAGGUCCCUGGAUACUGCCAGUCUUGAGGGGCUCAGAGGAGAGUGGAAUUCCGCGUGUAGUGGUGGAAUGCGUAGAUACGCGGAGGAACACCAGUGGCGAAAGCGGCUCUCUGGGGGCCACCUGACGCUGAGGCGCGAAAGCGUGGGGAGCGAACCGGAUUAGAUACCCGGGUAGUCCACGCCGUAAACGAUGAGUACUAGCUGUAUGGGGUAUCGACUCCCUGUGUAGCGAAGCUAACGCGAUAAGUACUCCGCCUGGGGACUACGGCCGCAAGGCUA
rnacentral:rRNA from 1 species